UUGUAGGUUCAAACCAAGUUAGUGUAGAUGAGCUCACAGAAGAUAUAAUGUCGCUUGACAUUAGCCGUGAAUCAGAUGCUUCAAAUUCUGUGAACAAUCCUAAGGUAUCCACUCCAAAUGCUUCAAGUAGUGUUGCUUGUUAAAAAUCAGAGAACAUCUCAAGGUUUGAUUAUUUGGAAUUGAAGAUCUUGAGAAAGAAAGGCAUAUGGGAACUUGAAUGUUGAAACUAUUUGGAUGUUAUGAUUAGACUUUUAUGGAUUUCGUUUUAAGUUUGUUAAGACAUUAUGUGUUUAUGCAUUUUUAUGACUUUUGUGAACCUUUGGCGACUAAAUUUUCAUUAAACAGGUUCCUUAA